UACAGAGGGUGCGAGCGUUGUUCGGAAUUAUUGGGCGUAAAGAGCGUGUAGGCGGCCAGGUAGGUCUGCUGUGAAAACUCGAGGCUCAACCUCGAGACGUCGGCGGAAACCAUCUGGCUAGAGUCCGGAAGAGGAGAGUGGAAUUCCUGGUGUAGCGGUGAAAUGCGCAGAUAUCAGGAAGAACACCCGUGGCGAAGGCGGCUCUCUGGGACGGUACUGACGCUGAGGCGCGAAAGCGUGGGUAGCAAACAGG
rnacentral:rRNA from 1 species